rfam:Meleagris gallopavo isolate NT-WF06-2002-E0010 breed Aviagen turkey brand Nicholas breeding stock chromosome 3, whole genome shotgun sequence.
CAUUUCACUUGGCUGGGGACACACUGUCAUCAGGCAGGUAGUUUUCCCAGGGUAAGGCUUACCCCCUGUACUCCAGGUGUGCUGAUCCCUGUGAUUUCCCCAAAUGUGGAAAACUUCACUGCAUAAAACCUGUGGUAGCGGGAGAUCGUGUUUGCAUUCUCCCCUU